CAGUCGCCGCGGUAAUACGGAGGGGGCUAGCGUUGUUCGGAAUUACUGGGCGUAAAGCGCACGUAGGCGGCUUGGUAAGUUAGAGGUGAAAGCCUGGAGCUCAACUCCAGAAUUGCCUUUAAGACUGCCGAGCUAGCAGGUGAGAGAGGUAAGUGGAAUUCCGAGUGUAGAGGUGAAAUUCGUAGAUAUUCGGAAGAACACCAGUGGCGAAGGCGACUACCUGGUCUGGCAUUGACGCUCAUGUGCGAAAGCGUGGGGAGCAAACAGGAUUAGAUACCCCAGUAGUCCCUGUCUCUUAUAC
rnacentral:rRNA from 1 species